AUGCUCAUUUCAGCAGCACAUAUACUAAAACCGGCCCUUUACAGAGAAGAUGAGCACAGCCCCUGCACAAGAAUGGCGUGCAAAUUUGUGAACUGUUCCAUAUUUUU